rfam:Dipodomys ordii contig_29227, whole genome shotgun sequence.
AGAAUCCAUUUGUGGGCGGCUGGCUCCGGAUCUGCGAAGGUGGACAACCCAAAAGCCAAGUUGGCAGG